rnacentral:rRNA from 1 species
AGGGUUCCUGUCCAACGUUAAUCGGGGCAGGGUGAGUCGACCCCUAAGGCGAGGCCGAAAGGCGUAGUCGAUGGGAAACAGGUUAAUAUUCCUGUACUUGGUGUUACUGCGAAGGGGGGACGGAGAAGGCUAUGUUAGCCGGGCGACGGUUGUCCCGGUUUAAGCAUGUUGGCUGGUUGUCCAGGCAAAUCCGGAUAAUCAAGGCUGAGGUGUGAUGACGAGGCACUACGGUGCUGAAGUAACAAAUGCCCUGCUUCCAGGAAAAGCCUCUAAGCAUCAGGUA